rnacentral:misc_RNA from 1 species
GAUGAAGAACGUAGCGAAAUGCGAUACGUAAUGUGAAUUGCAGAAUUCAGUGAAUCAUCGAGUCUUUGAACGCACAUUGCGCCCCCUGGUAUUCCGGGGGGCAUGCCUGUCCGAGCGUCAUUGCUGCCCUCAAGCACGGCUUGUGUGUUGGGCCUCCGUCCUCCUCCCGGGGGACGGGCCCGAAAGGCAGCGGCGGCACCGCGUCCGGUCCUCGAGCGUAUGGGGCUUUGUCACCCGCUCGGGACGGACUCGUCGGCGCUGGUCUUCCUCCAGGCGACCCUUCGGGGCUCGUCUUCCUUCGGUUGACCUCGGAUCAGGUAGGGUUACCCGCUGAACUUAAGCAUAUCAAUAAGCGGAGGA